UACGUAGGGUGCAGGCGUUAAUCGGAAUUACUGGGCGUAAAGCGUGCGCAGGCGGUCUGCUAAGAGAGAUGUGAAAUCCCCCGGGCUUAACCUGGGAACUGCGUUUCAUAACUGGCGAGGCUUGAGUGUGGCAGAGGGGGGUGGAAUUCCACGUGUAGCAGUGAAAUGCGUAGAGAUGUGGAGGAACACCGAUGGCGAAGGCAGCCCCCUGGGCUAACACUGACGCUCAUGCACGAAAGCGUGGGGAGCAAACAGG
rnacentral:rRNA from 1 species